GUGACAUCAUAAGGCCGCGCCGCUCCAGCAUCUGUUUUGAUUCGGCUGAAGAAAGGCCAUUUAAGUCCAUUCACUGACUCCACGUGACUCACUGUUAUAAAGAUGGAGGUUAUUAAAGAGGAGAGUGAAGACCUGAAGAUUGAAGAAGCUUUCAGAGUCAAACAUGAAGAUACUGAGGAACAAACAGACUUGAUGUCACUGAAAAAGGAGAGUCGAGAACUCAAUGAAAAGGAAGAUGAAGAUCAGUAUGAAAAGCAUCAUGAUUUCAAAAUUGGAGAAAAAUCAUUUUGUUGCUCACAGACUGAAAAGACACAAAAAAGAGCUUAUAAGACAGCAAAUAGAAGUUAUCUCACCUGCCAACAAUGUGGAAAGAGUUUCAAAAGAUUUGGAAACCUUAAGUCCCACAUAAGAAUUCACACUGGAGAAAAACCUUACACAUGCUCUCAAUGUGGAAUAAGUUUUACUCUUAAAGAAACUCUUCG